AGUAACACGUGAGUGACCUGCCUUUUAGACUGGAACAACUUACCGAAAGGUGAGCUAAUGCCGGAUGAGCUAUAUAAGUGCAUGUUUAUAUAGGAAAAGUUGGGGAGACCUGACGCUGAAAGAUGGACUCGCGUCCCAUUAGCUAGUUGGUAGGGUAAUGGCCUACCAAGGCGACGAUGGGUAGCCGGCCUGAGAGGGUGGCCGGCCACACUGGGACUGAGACACGGCCCAGACUCCUACGGAAGGCAGCAG
rnacentral:rRNA from 1 species